AGUGAACGCUGGCGGUAGGCCUAACACAUGCAAGUCGAACGGCAGCACAGUAAGAGCUUGCUCUUACGGGUGGCGAGUGGCGGACGGGUGAGGAAUACAUCGGAAUCUACUUUUUCGUGGGGGAUAACGUAGGGAAACUUACGCUAAUACCGCAUACGACCUACGGGUGAAAGCGGGGGAUCUUCGGACCUUGCGCGAUUGAAUGAGCCGAUGUCGGAUUAGCUAGUUGGCGGGGUAAAGGCCCACCAAGGCGACGAUCCGUAGCUGGUCUGAGAGGAUGAUCAGCCACACUGGAACUGAGACACGGUCCAGACUCCUACGGGAGGCAGCAGUGGGGAAUAUUGGACAAUGGGCGCAAGCCUGAUCCAGCCAUACCGCGUGGGUGAAGAAGGCCUUCGGGUGGUAAAGCCCUUUUGUUGGGAAAGAAAAGCAGCAGGUUAAUACCCCGCUGUUCUGACGGUACCCAAAGAAUAAGCACCGGCUAACUUCGUG
rnacentral:rRNA from 1 species